UACGAAGGGGGCUAGCGUUGCUCGGAAUCACUGGGCGUAAAGCGCACGUAGGCGGCUUCUUAAGUCAGGGGUGAAAUCCUGGAGCUCAACUCCAGAACUGCCCUUGAUACUGAGGAGCUCGAGUCCGGAAGAGGUGAGUGGAACUGCGAGUGUAGAGGUGAAAUUCGUAGAUAUUCGCAAGAACACCAGUGGCGAAGGCGGCUCACUGGUCCGGUACUGACGCUGAGGUGCGAAAGCGUGGGGAGCAAACGGG
rnacentral:rRNA from 1 species